ACCAGACUCCUACGGGAGGCAGCAGUGGGGGAUAUUGCACAAUGGGGGAAACCCUGAUGCAGCGACGCCGCGUGGGUGAAGAAGUAUUUCGGUAUGUAAAGCCCUAUCGGCAGGGAAGAAGGAGGACGGUACCUGACUAAGAAGCCCCGGCUAACUACGUGCCAGCAGCCGCGGUAAUACGUAGGGGGCAAGCGUUAUCCGGAUUUACUGGGUGUAAAGGGGGCGCAGACGGCAGCGCAAGCCAGGAGUGAAAGCCCGGGGCCCAACCCCGGGACUGCUCUUGGAACUGCGCGGCUGGAGUGCAGGAGGGGCAGGCGGAAUUCCUGGUGUAGCGGUGAAAUGCGUAGAUAUCAGGAGGAACACCGGUGGCGAAGGCGGCCUGCUGGACUGCGACUGACGUUGAGGCCCGAAAGCGUGGGGAGCAAACAGGAUUAGAUACCCGCGUAU
rnacentral:rRNA from 1 species